ACUCCUACGGGAGGCAGCAGUGGGGAAUAUGUCACAAUGGGGGAAACCCUGAUGCAGCGACGCCGCGUGAGCGAAGAAGUAUUUCGGUAUGUAAAGCUCUAUCAGCAGGGAAGAAAAAAAUGACGGUACCUGACUAAGAAGCCCCGGCUAACUACGUGCCAGCAGCCGCGGUAAUACGUAGGGGGCAAGCGUUAUCCGGAUUUACUGGGUGUAAAGGGAGCGCAGGCGGUGCGGCAAGUCUGAUGUGAAAGCCCGGGGCUCAACCCCGGGACUGCAUUGGAAACUGUCGUACUUGAGUAUCGGAGAGGUAAGUGGAAUUCCUAGUGUAGCGGUGAAAUGCGUAGAUAUUAGGAGGAACACCAGUGGCGAAGGCGGCUUACUGGACGAUAACUGACGCUGAGGCUCGAAAGCGUGGGGAGCAAACAGGAUUAGAUACCCUGGUAGUCCACGCCGUAAAC
rnacentral:rRNA from 1 species